GACGAACGCUGGCGGCGCGCUUAACACAUGCAAGUCGAACGGAAAGGCCUGCUUUCCCUUGUGGAUUGCGGGUACUCGAGUGGCGAACGGGUGAGUAACACGUGAGUGAUCUGCCCCCAACUUGGGUAUAAGCCUGGGAAACUGGGUCUAAUUCCCGAUAGGACUGCAGGGUGGUGCCUGUGGUGGAAAACGAUUUUCUAGUGGUUGGGGAUGAGCUCGCGGCCUAUCAGCUUGUUGGUGGGGUAAUGGCCUACCAAGGCGGCGACGGGUAGCCGGCCGGGGAGGGGGGACGGCAACAUUGGGACUGGGAUACGGCCCAGACUCCUACGGGAGGCAGCAGUGGGAAAUAUGGCACAAUGGGCGGAAGCCUGAUGCAGCGACGCGGCGUGGGGGAUGACGGCCUUCGGGUUGUAAACUCCUUUCGACCGCGAGGAAGCCACCUGGUUGGAAGGGUGGUGACGGUAGUGGUAGAAGAAGCACCGGCUAACUACGUG
rnacentral:rRNA from 1 species